UUACCUUAGAGCAAAGAGUUCACCGAUUUUCUGCAUAACUUCUUCAUGAGAUAGUUUCACUUUCUUCCCAGCUUUUAAAGCCUAGUACCUCUAGGCAAGCUUGUUACUUCAACAUAUCCGUGGGAGGCCAGAUCUUGAGACAGAUUUCCCAGAUGAUACUCAUCUGCCGUUGCAAAUGCUGUGCAGUGCAUUAGGUCCUGUUC
rnacentral:lncRNA from 1 species